rfam:Takifugu rubripes chromosome, Chr_10
GUCGGCUAUGGCGACAUUUACCCGCAGACUUUACUCGGAAAAAUAGUGGGUGGGCUUUGCUGCAUCGCGGGGGUGCUCGUCAUCGCUUUACCUAUCCCCAUCAUCGUCAACAAC